UUUUCAUACAAAAUAAAUAUAAAUUUAAUACAAAUUUUUAUCUAAUUUUAUAUUGUUCAACCAUACUAAAUUUUACACAAUUUUAUCUAAUUUUAAACAAAGUGAUCGACUUCACUGUUGCCCAUGUCAUUCUCUGUAGGAAGUCCCACAGCAGUACCAUGAGCCCUCACCAAUCUCCACCUUUCAGGUGCACCCUACAACAA